UACGUAGGGUGCAGGCGUUAAUCGGAAUUACUGGGCGUAAAGCGUGCGCAGGCGGUUUGCUAAGACAGGUGUGAAAUCCCCGGGCUUAACCUGGGAACUGCGCUUGUUACUGGCAGGCUUGAGUGUGGCAGAGGGGGGUGGAAUUCCACGUGUAGCAGUGAAAUGCGUAGAGAUGUGGAGGAACACCCGUGGCGAAGGCGGCCCACUGGGCCGGUACUGACGCUGAGGCACGAAGGCGUGGGGAGCGAACGGG
rnacentral:rRNA from 1 species